AGUGAACGCUGGCGGUAGGCCUAACACAUGCAAGUCGAACGUGUGGCGGACGGGUGAGGAAUACAUCGGAAUCUCCUCUGGAGUGGGGGAUAACGUAGGGACACUAACUCUAAUACCACAUACUCUUGAAUGCGCCGAUGUGGGUGUGGCUAGUGGGCGGGGUAAAGGCACACCAAGGCGACGAUCCGUAGCUGGUCUGAGAGGAUGACCAGCCACACUGGAACUGAGACACGGUCCAGACUCCUACGGGAGGCAGCAGUGGGGAAUAUUGGACAAUGGGCGCAAGCCUGAUGCAGCCAUACCGCGUGGGUGAAGAAGGCCUUCGGGUUGUAAAGCCCUUUUGUUGGGAAAGCGGUACCCAAAGAAUAAGCACCGGCUAACUUCGUGCCAGCAGCCGCGGUAAUAC
rnacentral:rRNA from 1 species